rnacentral:rRNA from 1 species
UACGAAGGGGGCUAGCGUUGCUCGGAAUCACUGGGCGUAAAGCGCACGUAGGCGGCUUCUUAAGUCAGGGGUGAAAUCCUGGAGCUCAACUCCAGAACUGCCUUUGAUACUGAGGAUCUUGAGUUCGGGAGAGGUGAGUGGAACUGCGAGUGUAGAGGUGAAAUUCGUAGAUAUUCGCAAGAACACCAGUGGCGAAGGCGGCUCACUGGCCCGAUACUGACGCUGAGGCGCGAAAGCGUGGGGAGCAAACAGG